UCCUACGGGGGGCAGCAGUGGGGAAUAUUGGGCAAUGGGCGCAAGCCUGACCCAGCAACGCCGCGUGAAGGAAGAAGGCUUUCGGGUUGUAAACUUCUUUUAAGGGGGAAGAGCAGAAGACGGUACCCCUUGAAUAAGCCACGGCUAACUACGUGCCAGCAGCCGCGGUAAUACGUAGGGUGCGAGCGUUAAUCGGAAUUACUGGGCGUAAAGGGUGUGCAGGCGGCUGAGUAAGACAGAUGUGAAAUCCCCGGGCUUAACCUGGGAACCGCAUAUGUGACUGCUUGGCUAGAGUGCGUCAGAGG
rnacentral:rRNA from 1 species